rnacentral:rRNA from 1 species
GACGAACGCUGGCGGCGCGCUUAACACAUGCAAGUCGAGCGAUGAAACUUUAACAGAACCCUUCGGGGCGAAGAUAAAGUGGAUUAGCGGCGGACGGGUGAGUAACACGUGAGUAGCCUGCCUUAGACAUUGGGAUAGCCUCGGGAAACCGGGAUUAAUACCAAAUAAAAUCAUAAUGACACAUGUCAUAACGAUCAAAACUCCGGUGGUCUAAGAUGGACUCGCGUCCCAUUAGCUAGUUGGUAGAGUAAAAGCCUACCAAGGCGACGAUGGGUAGCCGGCCUGAGAGGGUGAACGGCCACAUUGGAACUGAGAAACGGUCCAAACUCCUACGGGAGGCAGCAGUGGGGAAUAUUGCACAAUGGAGGGAACUCUGAUGCAGCGACGCCGCGUGAACGAAGAAGGCUUUCGAGUCGUAAAGUUCUUUUAUAUGGGAAGAUAAUGACGGUACCAUAAGAAAAAGCCCCGGCUAACUACGUG